rnacentral:lncRNA from 1 species
ACAAUUCCUAAUUUUAAACCAAACAUGGUUUGUCCAUAUCCAUUGCCUAAAAUUUGUGAUGUGUAACAUCAAAAUAAAUAAAAAUGGCUAAUGAGUUAUAAGUAUUCUAAUGAAUAAGAUAUAUUCUUCAUAAUAAAUGGAAAUCCCAUAUUUUAGGCAUAUCAAUAUGCUACAUUGUACAACAAACAUAUCACAUAUCACAUAGCCAUAUCCAUAUCCAUAUGAUACAAGAAAGAGUGGAUGAAUCCAAAAAUACAAACUAAACAAUUACAGGAAACUAGAGCCUAGAGGAUAUGCCCACAUCUUGUUUUUCUCCUAUAGCUAGCUAAAUACAGAUAGAAAGUGUAAUCAUCCAAUUAAACUUUCCAAUCUUGUCUUUAUUCCUCUUGAUCAAUCAUAUAGUAUUUUGAUAUCAUCGAUGCCACUCCAUUUAUAUUUACCAUAUAAUAGUAACUAGUUAUCUAGAAAUAUAUUAUUGACAUCCAUAAAAAAUGAAGAACGGGUAGAAUGUCUGAAGUGUGGGUACGGGAGUUGUUCUGCUACUAAAAGGUAGAAAAGCCCCAUUACUCCAGCGUGUUCCUUGGUGCUAUUGUAGAUAGAUUCUAGAGUUAAAGUUUCACCAUCAAUUAUUUUGACAGAACCUAGUUUAGGAUAACAAGUGGACAUUCCUACAAUGUAUCCUGCUUCAUUUCCGGCAUCAUUUCCAUUUCCAUAAGUUGGUAUAGAUGAACAUAUAACCCUUCCGUCCUGAAAACAUAAUAUCCACAAAUUUCACUACUUUACAAUGUUUAACUUCUUGAUCAAAAUUUAAAGUCGCAGAACAACAACCCUAGUACAAAAGUAAACAUACAAAAAACGUAAACAGAGAACACAUGAUAUUUGAUCAAUUAGACAAUUCCAUAGUUACCUUUGAAUUAAUUCAUACCUGUAAAAAGUGAUAUCUAAAUUGUACAAUUGUUCUAAAAAAGAUUUGAACUCUAUCUAUUAAAGUUACAAAGUUAAAGUCUUACCAUAAUAAUUGUAACUUGUAACUAUUAUAAAUUACCUGUCCAUAUAGAGUUGAUCCAAUUCCACCCGAAUGUUGAUGAGCAACACCAUAUAUCACAUAGCCACCAAUUUGUAGUGGGAGACUUGUCCUCUUCACAUGAACACAACUAUUUGCCUCAUUAUGGUCUGCAUUGCAAGCUUCAACUAUAUAAUCAAUCUGAAACAAAGAAAUAUGUGUUGCUCACUAUAAAAUUCCCAAUAAAGUAAUUUAUUAGUGUUGCAUGUUUUUGAGUCAAAUUGAGAUUGAAACAAAAAAACUAUAAUGGAUUCAUUUACCAAAUGUUUCUUGAUGAAUUCAUUUACCUUGCAAUUAUGGUCUGAAUUCAUUCCUUUUGAAUCAUCUGAUAGUUUCAAAGUAUCAGUCACAUCAAUUAUAUAUAUCUUAACAGGCACUAUAAAAUCAUCCCAAUCAACCCAUUCCACAGUGUAUUUCAGGUAAAGACUUCUCUUUGGACCCUCAAAACCUUCCUUCAACUUACACUGUGUAUGAUCAUAACAACAUACCAAACCUCCUUUAUAAUCUGGCCUAAUAGACCUUCCAUGUGAAUCCACCGUAACAUUAUAAAGCUCGCACUUACAUUCAGUGCACCCUAACUUAUCCUCCACACCGCGUGUAUCAAUUGCAUGAACAUUAACCAACCAUUUCUCCUCGAACCCUUCCGGAAUCUCUGCAGGAUUCCCUAUCUCUAUUCCAAAAGGAUCCGGAAUAUCGGUCGCUGUUCCUCGUGUUUCGGAUCCAAGACCAAAGUAUUGUGGAAGAGUAUUUCCCUGACAUGUGCCACUGUUCCUAACAGUAUUAUUCCACUGCAAGUUUGCUUUACUUUGAUGAUAUCUUACAACAAGCCAAUGAUGGAGAUAAGUUUCAUGAAGAGGUAUAGGAUUACCAGCUUCAUCAACUACUUCAGCAUUGAAACUCUUGAUUGCUACACGACCUCUUGGAAAAUCAAUAUCAUAAUAAAUUCCAUUAACAACUGAUCCAGGUCCUAGCUCAAAUUUGGGGGACAAAAAAACAGCUGAUUUUAUCUUAGCUUUAGUCUUCAGAAUUGAACCUGAGCAUGAUGUGCUCAACAACAGAAGAAGUAUUGCAAGUGAAGAUACAAAAUUUUCAGACAUAAAAGUAGAACACAUGUUGAUCUGUUAGCAAAAGAACACAGUUGGGGUUUGUUUGUUUGUUGAGGAGAAAUUUAGAGUUUGUCGGUAUCAAAUGGUAGAUUUAACUUAUAUUUAUAGAUCAAUGAAUGAAUGAAAGUGAAGUAAUUUAAAAAAAAGUCAUGUUCUGUUGAACCCAUUGGGAUUGGUCGAGUGGUGUUGGCUUGGGCUCUUGGAGUAUGCUCCUCUCAAGGUCUCAGGUUCGAUUCCCACUGGUGCCAAUUUCGGUGAGCUAAGUCCAUACAGAGCAAAAAAAACUCUGGCUUUAAAUGGGGCCCCCGCAAGUGGGCGGUGGAAUUGGUCCCCUUAAAUUAGUCGGUCCUAAGACCGGAUACCAAGUUUUUAAAAAAAAAAGAGUCAUGUUCUGUUGUUUCCUAGUAGGUAACACUCAUCAAUAGGUUCGUUGCAAAAUUUAAGUAUGCACAGGAAAAACGUUUAACUUACUGUGAGAUCUUACACCUCAUGUUGAUAAUUUAAGGAUAUUUAAGUCACUUCAUAUGCAUAUGACAAAUUAUCAAUGGGUCCUAGUUUGACUAGCGAAAACAGUUUCAAAAUCAAACACAAUAUAAUUGAAAUUAUGUUGUCCAGUCUCUUAUUUUUUAGCAGAUUAAAUGCACAAAUUUUACUCCAUCUAAUCUAACCUUAGUUUUGCGAGCUUAAUUAUAACUUAUAAGUAAAUAUUUCACUCAUUUAAUAACCGGUUAAAUACAUCGGUUUUAUUCAAUAAAUCUAUAAAAAAGAAGUGACAAAAUUACACCAUGAGUCAUUUAUCUUAUUUAUUUCUAAUAGAUUUGUCGGGUAUUUUUUUUUUAAAAAAAAAAACUGAUCACCUAUCUUGAUAAAUGUGCACAAUUUAAUCAUUUAUCAUAUUUAUUUGUAAUAUAUUCAUCUAUUAUCUUAUUUAUUUGUAACAUAUUCGUCCUUUAUCUUUUUUUCUUUUCCCACACAUGUCAUUUAUCUUUAUAAAUGUGCACAACUUAAUUUUUUAUCUUAUUUAUUUGUAACAUAAUAAAAUGUUUGAAACAUGGAACAAGGUGUUCUUGCGAUGAAGCACCGACACCUCUAUGAUUAGGCGUGUCGCGAUGUCCGACACGUGUCGGUGUCCGACACACGUAUGACACUCGUACGACACGUGUCGGAUAGCUCAGAUCGGUGUCCAUAAAAACUCAAUUUUUCAAUAAAUAACUUGCUCAACUUAGAUUUACAUGUAUAUAUUUUGACUCUCAAUUUAUAUUUUUUAUAAAUAUGUAGCGGUGUCGGUGUUCUAUAUUUUUUACAAUAGCGGUGUCGCGGCGUCCGUGUCGGUGUCGUGUCGCAGUGUCCGUGUCGGAGUCUGUGCUUCAUAGCUUGCGAGUAUAUUUGGAAAGACACUAAAGGUUGGAUUUUAAAUGUUAGUGGUUAAGUCGAAUGUUGGAUAUACAAGAGAAGUGACUCAUGAACUAAUACCUUAAAGUUUUGUGUAGAGAUACGACGUCUCCCUCUCAUGUGAUCCUGGAGUAUUAACUCAUUGUUACUUUCGACGCUACCUGAACUCUCCAGUAAAUGGUAUCAAAACUGUGGUUCGAUAGUGUUUAUAAAAUUUGAUCACCUCUCUUCUUACAAGCAGAUUUUAUAAGAUCGAAUUAGACUCAAGUUAAAUUCUAACAAAACCCUUUGAUUGUUACUAUUCUCUGCACUCUGCAGAUGUCCUGUUAUUCUUCUGGACUGCCUUAAUCUCAUGACUUGUGUGAGAAUUAACUACAAGAGAAUAGUAAAAAUAUGCUAAUAAUAACAACCAUGGCUUGAAUGUGGUUGAACACUUCUGGCUUGAAUUCAGUAUAAUCUUGAAGGCCGUUCUCUUUAUUUAUUUAGCAAAUCCUUGAAUAUUAAUAUUGGUUACUCCAAGGCUAAUAUUUAGAUAUAAUUUAUCUCAAUUUAAGCCAUUGGAUAUAUCUUUUUUUAACUUCUGAGUCUCGUCAUACAUUACCUGUGUAUAUAUAGUGUAUAUCUAUCUGUCUGAUUUAAGGGGCUAUAAAAUAUUUAUGCCAGGAUCCUGUUUGUUACACUACACAGUAAGAUUACUACAGAUGCNNNNNNNNNNNNNNNNNNNNNNNNNNNNNNNNUUUCAGAUCAGAGAUUAGUUCUAUAAAAAUGUGUUAAUCUAUUACUAUCACUUUCUACCCUUGAGGCCUUGACAAAUGAGUUCAUUCUCACUAUUGAAAUGAGAGGAAGUGACGGGGACCAGAGUUGAGGCGAAGUUACAAACGUAGGGAGCAGCGACGGUUGAGCUAUGAACGAGGAAGCAAAUGUGGGUUCACAAUUUUGCCAAGGGUGGCAGACAACUGACUUGUUCCGUAAGGAAGCCACACCUGUGGCAGGACCCUAUACUUGUUCCAUAGCCACUUUGCAUGUACGUUUCAAGAGAGAAGAUCUUUUAAGCAACUUUAGGACAUAAACAACAUUAGCUACUCACAAUUCCUAAUAUUAAACAUCAAAAUAAAUUUGUGAUGUGUAACAUCAAAAUAAAUAAAAAUGGCUAAUGGGUUAUAAGUGUUCUAAUGAAACAGAAAUAUUCUUCAUAAUAAAUGGAAAUCCCAUUAUUUUAAGCAUAUCAAUAUGCUUUUUAUUUUUUGAAACAUAAGCAUAUCAAUAUGCUACAUUGUACAACAAACAUACCACAUAGCCAUAUCCAUAUGAUACCAGAAAGAGUGGAUGAAUACAAAAAUACAAACUAAACAAUUACAGGAAACUAGAGGAUAGAAUGUCUAAAGUGCUGGUAUAUGGGAGUUGUUCGGCUACUAAAAGGUAGAAAAGCCCCAUUACUCCAGCGUGUUCCUUGGUGUUAUUGUAGAUAGAUUCUAGAGUUAAAGUUUCACCAUCGAUUAUCUUGACAGAACCUGGUUGAGGAUAACAAGUGGACAUUCCUACAAUGUGCCCUACUUCAUUUCCUGCUUCAUUCCCAUUUCCAUAAAUUGGUAUAGAUGAACAUAUAACCCUCCCGUCCUGAAAACAUAAUCCACAAAUUUCACAAAACAAGCUACUGCACAAUGUUUAACUACUUGAUCAAAGGUAAAAGUACUAGAAAACAACCCUGGUACAAAAGUAAACAUUCGAAAAACGACCAAGUAUUGAAGUUACAAACUCAAAGUCUUACCACUACCAAAUAUUUAAGAAUGACAAUAAGUUGUAACUAUUGCAAAUUACCUGUCCAUAUAGAGUUGAUCCAAUUCCGCCCGAAUGUUGAUGAGCAACCCCAUAGAUCACAUAGCCACCUGUUUGAAAUGGGAGAUUUGUCCUCUUUACAUGAACACAACCAUUUUCCUCCUUGUGGUCUGUACUGCAUGAUUCUACUUGAUACUCAACCUGAAACCAAAAAAAAUUCCAUGUUGCUUACUAUAAAACCCAACAAAGUAGAGUUUUAGAGUUAAAUAGAGAUUUAGACAAACAAACUACAUAUAUAGUUGAGAGACUCGACAUUCACACAAUCAGUACACCGGUAGCCGUUGGAUUGAGAUUGGACCAUCAUAGAUUCCAAGUGCGGUAUUUUGGAUUUUCAAACAAUCAAAAUCAUAUAUUUUGGGAAAUGUCCGAUUUUUAACCAACAGUCACUGGUGCAUUGAAUACGUGAAAGCAGGGUAUCCCAACUACACUGAACCCAUUUCAACUAACCAAAUGUUUCUUGAUAAAUUCAUUUACCUUGCAAUUAUGAUCUGAGUUCGUUCCUUUUGAAUCAUCUGAUAGUUUCAAAGUAUCAGUCACAUCAAGUACAUAUAUCUUAACAGGCACUAUAUAAUCAUCCCAAUCAAUCCAUUUCACUUUGUAUCUUAAGUAGAGGCUUCUCUUUGGACCCUCAAAACCUUCCUUCAGCUUGCACUGUGUAUUAUCAUAACAACAUAACAAACCUCCUUUAUAAUCUGGUCUAAUAGACCUUCCAGAUUCAUCGAUUGUAACAUUAUAAAGGUCACACUUACACUCGGUGCACCCUGAUUUAUCCUCUGCGCCGCGAUUAUCAAUAGCAUGAAUAUUAACCAGCCAUUUCUCCUCAAACUCUUCUGGAAUCUCUGCAGGAUUACCUAUCUCUAUUCCAAAAGGAUCCGGAAUAUCAGUCGCCGUUCGUCGUGUUUCGGAUCCAAGGCCAAAGUAUUGUGCAUAAAUAGUUCCCUGACACAUGCCACUGUUCCUAAAAGUAUUUUUCAAAUGCGAGUUUGCUUUACUUUGAUGAUAUCUUACAACAACCCAAUGAUGGAGAUAAGUUUCAUGGAGAGGUAUAGGAUUACCAGCUUCAUCAACUACUUCAGCAUCGAAACUCUUGAUUGCUACAUGACCUCUUGGAAAAUCAAUAUCAUAAUAAAAUCUAUUAACAACUGAUCCAGGUCCUAGCUCAAAUUUGGGGGAUAAGAAAACAGCUGAUUUUAUCUUAGCUUUAGUCUUCAGAAUAGAACCUGAGCAAGAUGUGCUCAACAACAGAAGAAGUAUUGAAAGUGAAAAUACAAAAUUUCCAGACAUAGAACACAUGUUGAUCUUAGCAAAAUCUUGCAUGAUAGUCCUCCCUGGAAGCCUUUAAAAAAGUGAAUUAAACUACAAAAUAAACAAAACAGAUAAUAUAUGGCAGAUCAUAUCACCAAAUAAACUAACUACACAAAUAAGCAUGAAAAAGACAUAGUUUGAACAAAAUCAUCAUCAUCAAGAUUUUAAAUUAGUCACAUGGCAACUUAUAAAUACAGUUGAAGUUGAUUCAGCUUCAAUUGCAAUCACAACUAGUCAUCAAAAUUUUGAUGUUGUGACUACAAUUGUUGUCACAGAACAUAACAUUUUUAAAACAUAAACUUAUGAUCAAGCAACUUUGUUUUAUAUUAAAAAAAAAAGUAUAAUUAGCAAUAUUAGAUAGUGAUUAUAGAAACUAAUGACCAAAAAGGAUUAGAGUAUAUGAUCAAGAAUAGAUAGAUGAGAUUGCAUACCUCAAGAAAGUCUGGAAAAUGACAGAGUCUGGAAAUUUAGAGUGUGUCGGUAUUAAAUAGUAGAUAAGAUAAUGAAUGAGUGAAUGAAUGCAAGUGUAGAGAUUGUAAUUCAAUAUUUUAAAUUAUCUUUUCUUUCCUUUUUGGGACACGCAGCCCCUAAAUAUAUUUAGCCGACUAAAUUAAUAUAUUUAAAUAGCUUAAGCAUUUUAUUAAAAAUAAAUGGUAUAAUCAACUUCUGAUAAUGUCUAAUUUUUUUUUUUAAGUAAAAAUGGAAAGCAUGACAUCAUAGUAAGUCAUCGACAUCCCAACUAUAUUGACACCUCAGUGCACUAUCACUCCUCUAUUAUCUCACCAAAAAUAUACUUCAUAAUUUGUCUUAUCCUUUUAACAAUUACUAGUAAUUAUUCAUUGACAAUGAUAUGUUGGUGCUCCCAUCCCACCUCUAAAAAAAAUUUCUCCAUCUUCAAAAAUAUAUAAGAAAAUGAUAAAGAAAAUGAGUGGCUGAUAAGCUCUAUAUUAUUCUAAAUACUAAAUUUAUCCGUUGAAAUUUUUUAAAUUCAGAACUACUUCACAAAGUGAUAUCUUACGUAUUUUCUAUAUAGGAGCAUAAGUGUCUUCACAAAAUACUAAUUCCUUUAGUUCAAUUUUUCUACCCAACCAAACAAGCAAAGAGAACACUUAUCUUUUCUUACCCAGUUUCUCUUUUCUCGAAUACAUAGGUGUUAUUCAAAAAUCUAAAAAAAUGUGACAAAAUUAUACUAGGAGUUAUUUAUCUUUAUUAUUGAUUUUUAUUGCGAAGUUGUAGUGCACCAUUCUUAUCGUGGAGCAAACUUUUGUGCGGAUACAUUGACAAAUUACGAGUGUUUAUUGGAUAAAAAGAUGAAAUUUUAAGAGUCAUAUCCGGUGAAUUUUAGUCAUUUGUUAAUUACUAAUGUAAUUGGGAGAAUUUCUUCCGCUAUAUUAAUCUUGUGUAAUCUUUUUUCUCUUUUCUCGAAUACAUAGGUGUUAUUCAAAAAUCUAAAAAAAUGUGACAAAAUUAUCCUAGGAGUUAUUUAUCUUUAUCUUCUUUUUUCCCCAAAUUGAUCACUUAUCUUUAUAAAUGUGCACAACUAAAUCUUUUAUCAUAUUUGUUUGUAACAUAUUCAUCAAUUAUUUUAUUUAUUUAUAACAUAUUCAUCCUUUAUCUUAUUUUUUAUCUCACACGUGUCAUUUAUCUUUAUAAAUGUGUACGAAUAUUUCAAAGGGAUGGGCUGCAAUAUUUCAAUGUUUGGUCGCGAGGUAAGGAAAGUUUGACAAAAAAUUUAUUCCCACCAAAUAUCGAACUCAGGUUCUCCCGAACAAUUCAUCCUUAAGGGAGCUAAUUUACUCUAUAUUAUCCAAUAAACAUGGAUGUUCUUGCGAGUAUAUUUGGAAAGACACUAAAUGUUGGAUUUUAAAUGUUAGUGGUUCAGUCGAAUGUUGGAUAUAAAAUGUUGCGAGUAUAUCAGAACUGUGGUUCAAUAGUGUUUAUAAAAUUUGGACACCACUCUCUUACAAGCCGAUUUUAUAAGAUCGAAUUAAACUAACUCAAAUUCUAACCAAACCCUUUGAUUGAUUGUUACUAUGUCUGCACAAGAUCUGUUAUUCUUUUGUAUUGCCUUAAUCUCAUGACUUGUGUAUAUCUAUCUUUCUGAUUUAAGGGGCUAUAAAAUAUUUAUUCCAGGAUCCUGUUUGUUACACUACACUGUAAGAUUGUUUCAGAUGCUAAAUUAGCGUUUCAGAUCAGAGAUUAGUUCUAUAACAAUGUGUUAACCUAUUACUAUCACUUUCUACCCUUGAGGCCUUGACAAAUGAGUUUGUUCUGACUAUUGAAACGAGAGAGACGAACAUGGACAAAAACUAACCUAAUUGAAAUGCAAUGGUGACAACUGAGNNNNNNNNNNNNNNNNNNNNNNNNNNNNNNNNNNNNNNNNNNNNNNNNNNNNNNNNNNNNNNNNNNNNNNNNNNNNNNNNNNNNNNNNNNNNNNNNNNNNNNNNAUAUCUAUAUCCAUAUAUGAUACUUAUCACAUAGCCAUAUAACAUAUUCAUAUAUGAUACAAGAAAGAGUGGAUGAAUCCAAAAAUACAAACUGUAUAUCACUAAAACUAGAGAAUAUGCUCACCUCUUGUUUUUCUCCUAUAGCUAGCUACAUACAAAGAGAAAAAAGUGUAAUUAUCCAAUUACACUUUCCAAUCUUGUCUUUAUUCCUCUCAAGUCUUAACCAACCAUAUGGUAAUUUAAUAUCAUGUCACUCCGCUUAUAUUACCAUUUAUUUACAUCCAUAAAAAAUGAAGAACGAGUAGAAUGUCUAAAGUGUUGGUAUGGGAGUUGUUCUGCUACUAAAAGGUAGAAAAGCCCCAUUACUCCAGAGUGUUCCUUGGUGUUAUUGUAGAUAGAUUCUAGAGUUAAAGUUUCACCAUCGAUUAUCUUGACAGAACCUGGUUGAGGAUAACAGGUGGACAUUCCUACAAUGUACCCUACUUCAUUUCCUGCUUCAUUCCCAUUUCCAUAAGUUGGUAUAGAUGAACAUAUAACCCUACCGUCCUGAAAACAUAAUUCACAAAUUUCACAAAACAAGCUACUGCACAAUGUUUAACUUCUUGAUCAAAAGUAAAAGUACUAGAAAACAACCCUGGUACAAGAGUAAAC